GAAAGAGAGGGUGAUGAGAAAGAAAGGCCAAGUGAGAGAGUGAUAGUGGAAAGGUCGAGCAAAGAAAAGAUGGACAGCACGAGUUGAGGAGGAUUAGAAGGAAGGAUCCUCAUCUAGAGUCCGUGGGGAUGAGAAGAGUCCGAAGAAGGACCAUUGCCGUAGACGAACAUUCAUUCGGAAGUAAGAGGAUGACCAAACUUGAAUGUGGAACAUUGUAAAGGAAUGGCAUACGCAUAUAUAUGUGCAACGAACAGCUAAUCAUAUGUACAUGAAUACUUAUUGUGAGUUGGGAUUUUCUCGUCUAGUACUUUAGAAAGGAUAUUGUAUGUGUUGUGUUAGAACUAGAAUGGGCGAAGUAUGACGCUCUACCCCUUCAAGGGAUGUAGUUCACUGUAUUUGUCAAUAUUUUCCUGAUUGCUUUGUUGUGAAAAAUGGUUGGUGGCUUA
rnacentral:misc_RNA from 1 species